rnacentral:rRNA from 1 species
GGUUAAGCGACUAAGCGUACACGGUGGAUGCCCUGGCAGUCAGAGGCGAUGAAGGACGUGCUAAUCUGCGAUAAGCGUCGGUAAGGUGAUAUGAACCGUUAUAACCGGCGAUUUCCGAAUGGGGAAACCCAGUGUGAUUCGUCACACUAUCAUUAACUGAAUCCAUAGGUUAAUGAGGCGAACCGGGGGAACUGAAACAUCUAAGUACCCCGAGGAAAAGAAAUCAACCGAGAUUCCCCCAGUAGCGGCGAGCGAACGGGGAGCAGCCCAGAGCCUGAAUCAGUGUGUGUGUUAGUGGAAGCGUCUGGAAAGGCGCGCGAUACAGGGUGACAGCCCCGUACACAAAAAUGCACAUGCUGUGAGCUCGAUGAGUAGGGCGGGACACGUGGUA